GCCACGUCAGCUCUAGUAUUCAAUAUCUAUCAGCUUAACUGCCGGAGAUCUCACGGCGAUUAACACAGGCGCAUCAAGGCUCUACUUGGUCGGCUCAACCUUCAUCGUCCUCUGCUACUGCCUCUUUAAAGAACUCCGCAAGUUCUCCUUCAAGCUCGUCUUCUACCUCCCUCUCUCUGAUAUGAUUUGCAGCUUCUUCCUAAUCCUAGGAACUUUCCAGAGGCAGAGGAUCUCUCUGCAUAUGAUGGCUGGAGUUAAGGCUAGCGCCUUUUCAGUUAAAGGUGUUCGCGAGCUCAUAAAACCGUCAUCGAAUCGGAAGGUCAUGGAGUAUGUCCAGUCCAGCAAGUUUUCAUCUUGCCAAG